rnacentral:rRNA from 1 species
CGUGGGUAACCUGCCCAAGAGAUCGGGAUAACACCUGGAAACAGAUGCUAAUACCGGAUAACAACAGAUGAUGCCUAUCAACUGUUUAAAAGAUGGUUCUGCUAUCACUCUUGGAUGGACCUGCGGUGCGUUAGCUAGUUGGUAGGGUAACGGCCUACCAAGGCGAUGAUGCAUAGCCGAGUUGAGAGACUGAUCGGCCACAUUGGGACUGAGACACGGCCCAAACUCCUACGGGAGGCAGCAGCC